UGUCUCUGACUGGAGCUUGUCCCUCCGUUGAGCCUGUGAUCCUGUGAUCCUGUAUGCAUCAUAACCCCUGUGGCUUGAGCUGCAACUGGGGUGUGUGCUGAGUGAGUGGGGAUUUAGUGCAGAGGCUCUGCUCUAACACAGGUGCAAGCCAGAAAAAAGGCAGGUCUCUAGCUGGGCAGGGUGUCUGAGUCUCCGUGUCCCAGGGGUCCCAGUUAUGCCAGGUAUUGGGUGGGGCUAGGGGUGGUCUCUCCUGUGAUUCUGGAUUUGUCAGAACACCUGGGGAGUUGAGCUUUGACUAAGUCUUGACACUGGCUUGGGAAUAAUGCCUCUCUUUGUACUUCUUCAUGAGUCAAUUACAGCUUCAUUCUCCAACAAUAGCCAUUCAGAGUGGAGUUUGUGCUUAGAGACACAGACAUACCUUUCAGAGAUUCAUCCAGUUUAGAACAUCCCUAUCUAGAAGAUGGUAUCAUCCACAAUGGGCAGAUAUUCCCACAUCAAUUAAUAAUCAAGACAUCCUCUUGGUACACAUGCUCACAGACCAAACUGAUUUAGUUAAUUCCUCAGCUGCCUGGAAGCCAGUAUUCUGCUAGCAG